CAGCAGCCACGGUAAUACGAAGGGGGCUAGCGUUGCUCGGAAUUACUGGGCGUAAAGGGAGCGUAGGCGGACUGUUUAGUCAGAGGUGAAAGCCCAGGGCUCAACCUUGGAAUUGCCUUUGAUACUAGCAGUCUUGAGUACGGAAGAGGUAUGUGGAACUCCGAGUGUAGAGGUGAAAUUCGUAGAUAUUCGGAAGAACACCAGUGGCGAAGGCGACAUACUGGUCCGUUACUGACGCUGAGGCUCGAAAGCGUGGGGAGCAAACAGGAUUAGAUACCCCCGUAGUCCCUGUCUCUUAUAC
rnacentral:rRNA from 1 species